rnacentral:rRNA from 1 species
GUGGGGAAUAUUAGGCAAUGGGCGAAAGCCUGACCUAGCAACGCCGCGUGAAGGAAGAAGGCCUUCGGGUUGUAAACUUCUUUUAUGAGGGACGAAGGACGUGACGGUACCUCAUGAAUAAGCCACGGCUAACUACGUGCCAGCAGCCGCGGUAAUACGUAGGUGGCGAGCGUUGUCCGGAUUUACUGGGUGUAAAGGGCGCGUAGGCGGACUGGCAAGUCAGAUGUGAAAUACAGGGGCUCAACCCCUGAACUGCAUUUGAAACUGGUGGUCUUGAGUAUCGGAGAGGCAAGCGGAAUUCCUAGGGUAGCGGUGAAAUGCGUAGAUAUUAGGAGGAACACCAGUGGCGAAGGCGGCUUGCUGGACGACAACUGACGCUGAGGCGCGAAAGCGUGGGGAGCAAACAGGAUUAGAAACUCGGGUAGUCC